CCAAGGGAUGUGGAAUCAGGGACAUGGGAGAUCCCUAAUUCAAAGUUAAGACCUCUAUUGGAGGACAAAAUUCGAUCAGGAAGUGAACAUUUGGGAUCACUGCUUCAGCAGUUGGAUGCGAUUUUCGUGGCCGGUGCAGUGUUUGUAAGGAGAAAUCCAACAGCAAAAUUAUGGUCCCUGCUUUACCUUGUAUGCCUACACUUUUGGGUCAUUUACAUUCUUUUUACACAUUCACAAGCCUCAAAUGAGAGCAGAUCUGGUGCUGUUAUAUCCUUGGAAAACAUCAAUAACACUGCAGCUUUGUAAUUUGUGUUUAUGGUGUUCUUUUACCCCAAUUUCUUUUUGCCUCAGCUUUUAGGAGGUGUGCAUUUGCCCUGGGGUGUAAUUUGUGUAGUUUUCUCUUAACGUCCAAUAAGACGAUGCAUCACUAGGAUUGUAACUUGUAACUAUUUGCAUAUCAACCAGAGAAAGUAAUAUAAUCUAUUCAAUUUUUCUUUUUAAUCA
rnacentral:misc_RNA from 1 species